AUAAUCCGAGCAAAUGUUCACGGUCGGAUCCAGGAGGAAGAGGAGAAGAAGGGGGGCGCGGGAUGCUAUAGCAUUUAAGGAAAAGGAAAAGAGUUGCAGUUACAAUACUGUAUAAUUCGAGUGAAGUGUGUGGAGGAUCGGGCAGUGAGCGGCUGCAGCAGAUUAUGGCAUCUGCCACAGAGGAUUUGAAAAUGGAGAAUCAGUAUUCACCAGAUCCUGAAAGCAGCAAGGUUCCACAUGGAGUCCAGGCUGAUGUGUCACCGGAUGCAAAAUGCCCCAUCUGUCUAGACAGAUUUGACAACAUGUCCUACAUUGACCGCUGCUUCCAUAAAUUCUGCUUCCGCUGCAUUCAGGAAUGGUCACGAAACAAAGCUGAAUGUCCCCUGUGCAAACAGCCUUUUAACUCCAUUUUCCACAGUGUGCGGACUGAAAAUGAUUUUCAGGAGUAUGUACUGAAGGCAACAGAGAAUGGUUCAUUUGCCAGUCCGGGUGGGCAGAGGUUUAGGUACCGAACAACACUCACCCGAGAACGUCGUACCACCCAUCAAACUCGAAGGUCCCCUGUUCUUCCUGAAUUGCCCGACAACGGAGUGGUAUUUGAAGGACUUGGGAGGCAGGCCCGGAUGUAUCAGGGACACAGUUUGCGUCGAAUGAUGUUGCGAAUGGGCGCCCGGAGGAGAGCACAGUCUGAGGGAAGAUCUACACGCCAGGUCCAAGAACAAGAGAUGAUCCGUUUUAGACGGGAGUUGUACCGUUCAGGCUUGAGGGUGAGGAAUGUCCAGGAUGGAGGUCGGUAUCGCGACAUUUCUGCAGAAUUUUUCCGCCGCAAUGCAGCCUGUCUUCAUCGGUUAAUGCCGUGGUUAAAACGGGAGCUCUGUGUCUUAUUUGGCUCCCAUGGCUCUGUUGUCAACAUUGUGCAACACAUCAUCAUGUCUAACAUUGUUCGAUAUGACAUGGAAAGUGAAGCAUUUCAGGAAGAACUCCGUCCUUUUUUACUCAGCCGCACAGAUCAUUUCUUGCAUGAGUUCAUAAGCUUUGCACGGGCACCAUUCAAUAUGGAAUCGUAUGAUCAGAGGGCCAACUAUGACUGCCCAGCUCCAUCCUAUGAGGAAGAAAGUGACUCUGAUUUGUCUGUUAUCACAAUUUCCCCUGACACUGCUCAGGUUCAGGAAGAAGAUAGACCCAAUCCCAAUCCUUCAGAGUUAGCACUUGGCUUAAGUCAGGCGACAUGGGAUGAUGAAACACCGGGCCCUUCUUAUUCAGUGCCAGAGACAGUGGAGUCGGCUAACUCCUCGCCUGGUGAAACCUCUGUUGUUUCUGAAGAUACACCACCACAGCCUGGAUCAUCACUGCUUACAGCAUCAAUAAAAACUGAUCCAGGCACAAAUGAAGAGGGGUCGGUCCGUUCCACUGAUGACUGCCAAAUAGUUGGUUAUGUAAAGCCUUUAGCUGAAAGAACUCCUGAACUUAUCGAACUAAGUUCAGACUCUGAUGCUUCCAUUCAAGCCACAAGCACUGAGGCUGCUGAACAGCCUCUACAUAUACAGUUCCACAGCACCAGCAGUUUGUCUUCAUCAACUAGAUCAUCGUCAGCUAGAUCAUCUGCGUCCAGGGAGCGACUGAAAAGAAAAAGAUUGAGACAGAAAAAGAGCAACAAAUCGAAAAGAGAUAAGCACCAGAGUCGUAAGAAGAGUUCCCGCUGUAGGGGCAGUGUAUCACAUUCAAUCAGGCAUGGAGAAAGGACAUCAAGCAGAGUUCGAGGCAGUUCGAAAGAUCAACCCAGAAUACGAUCACAUAGUAGGGAUAAGCAUGAUCUUAGGAGGCAUGAGCAAUCAAGCACAAGGGAUAGAACCAUGGUGACUUACUCUUAUAGCAGAAGUGAACGUCGAGCUAAAGACCGGAAUAGAAAAGCUGGCCGAGACAAAUCUUCUUCAGGGGAGAGGGACAGAUCAGGCAGCAGAGAAACCAGUGCUCAUCAAACCCAAGACAGAAGGCGAUCAAGGAACCGAGAGAGAACGUCUUUCACUAGAAGUCGGACGAGGUCACAGAACAGUGACUGUGUUGUUUACAGGCACAGAGCUAGGUCACGUUCUUGGAGCAGAAGUUAUCCUGAUCUGAGAGACAGAAAGAGGUCUAGAAGUCGGGAGAGGACGUACAGCUACAUGAGGGAAUACCAAGAAAGAAACAGGGGUUUUUCAUAUCAGUGGGAAAAAUAUAGUUAUCACAGCAGAACUAAUGAUGGCCAUGAGUCUGCAACUCGAACUAGGAUUCAUCACAGGAGAGGGUCACCGUCUUCAGAAUAUAGAAUUCGAUCCAGUUCCGAAAGUACAAGCUUCAGAAGCCCAAGCAGCCAUAGGGAUGAUGUCUAUUACCAAUACAAAAGUUAUCGAUCAAGAAGCCCAUCUAGUACCCGAUCUAGAACUACUUCUGGUAGGACUGAUAAGAUGAGGCAAGAGAAACCUGGAGGCAAACGAAAAUAUAAGACUCAUUAUUUGGAAAGUUUCUCCAGCAAAGAAAGCAAAAAUACAAGUUUGCAAGUUGCUAAUUUAUCAUCAGAAAUUCAUGUGUUGCCCAGACAAGAGGGUAGCUCCCCUGGCCCUCUUUCACAGUGUAGCAGUAACUCACCAAAGAGUGGUUCAGUGUUACUUGAGAGUACACUGGGCAGUGAACCAAAAUUCAAAAAGCAUAAGGAGAAGAAAAGAAGCUCAAGUGUGGAAAUUGUGUAUGAGGGAAAGGUAACAGAUACAAGUCGGCACCAUAAGAGGAAAAAGAAACACAAAAAGAAACAGAAAAGGGAAAAGAGCAGUGAACAGGCUGAUACCAGACGUCAUUCACCCCUUGUCAUAACCAUUGAAAGUGAUAGUGAUGUAAUUGUUACAAGUAUGGAAGAUGGUAAUAGCACUGCAGUCACACCUGCUAACCUUCUUACAGAAACCAAUUUUGAACUUGAUGAAAAAUGUAUUCUUAGGACAGCGGAAUCUCCUGACACAACUCCGAAUAUUUUCUUGAGGCACACGAGCAUUGACUCUUUGGAUGUGUGCAGAGUCUCUGCAGAGUCUGAUCAUAGUCCACCAAAUCCACAUGAACAGACUUGCCGUAACCCAGAAGAUGUCAGUCCAGUGACUGAUACUGACAGUCAUCAGAAUUUCAAAGGGGAAGAACAAGGCCACAGACAACAUUGCUCUUCACCAAGUAGGACCCUUCCUAAAAACUCUUCAGACAGGCCACCUUUGAUACUGAAAAUUCCAAAGAGAUUCAUUAAUGGCACCGACUUGUUUAACUGUCCAACAGAAAAUGCUUGAAAAGUGUUUCUCAGCUCCAAGUUGGUUUGAGAAACUCUUGUGCGCCAUUCCCUAAACUUCUGCCCCCACCCCCACCCAAUGACCAGUACCACUUCCCAUCCACCCAGGGAAUUUUAUUAGAUUCUUACUGAAGCACCAAGAGGAUUACUAAGUGUGUGGUCAUCAAGCUGGCAUCAUAUGUACAAAUGUUUUUUUUAAGAAGUACUUUGUGACAAGACUAGUAACAGUGGACAGAUUAACCAUGUGUGCAGAUGCUGCUUAACAAUGACUUUGAAAGUGUUGAUUCCUAUACAGGAUCUAUCCAUUGGAAAUUUUAUAAAUAUGAUGUAUUAAGGUGGGAUUUGAAAAGUUGUGUGGGUGUGUCUGUUUAAACACAUCGGAGGUUUCUUUUCAUCUGACUUUAUCAUUACCAAAAGUACAGCGCACAGACUCGCAUUUUACUGUUCUAGGUUGUCAUGAAUCGCAUAAUACAUAGAAGGGAAGACUCAGAGAGAUUGAAGAAACUUGCACUUCUGUAAAUAAUUUUACUUGAAUGUUCUAAAACAAUUGCCAAAUAUAUAGAUCAAAACUGGCAAUUGGGUGGGCAAUAAUUUUUUAAAAAAUCAUUUUAUAAGAAUAGGUUUGAACAAAUGUUUAGAAACAUUUUGCUGAAACACAUCCCAACGAGGACUAUUUAUAUGGCAAGUGAAAUACUUUAAUGCAGUUCUAGAUUUAAAGGCCCUUUGCUGCACAAGCAAUUACAAAACAGUGUGGCUGAUAGUUUUGUUCCUUGCCUUCAGGAGCUGGUUUCUCCCAAUUUUUACACAGGAUAUCAAUUUCCAUUAGCUUUCUAUCACCCUGAUUGAGACUUUCAGCAAACUAGAAUGACCUCCUGUGAUAGUAGAAGGAGGACUGUUGGCUUAAGGCAAUCCUAACCUUUUCUACUUCCAGGUCAAAAUUUCACCUUGUUAGGAUAGUGUUUUUCAUACCAUAUUAUCAAUGUCCUGUAAUUUGCAGGAAGUGUAUUUUUAUGUUUGAUAGAUUUUUGAGAGUGUGUUGUGAAUUGUUGUAAAUAAGCUGUUAGAUAAACUUGCCUGCAGCACAGUUAAAAUUUCAGUUUGUCUGUCUUUAUAAAAUAAUCAAUCCCUGUAGGAGGUCCACAAUUAAUGUUCAUCAGACUAAUGAACGCGAUCCCAAACAUGAUUCUAACAUUUAAAGACCUGAAAUACAUACAUUUCCUGAGCUUGGAGCUGCUGCUUUCCAUUCUCAAAUUCUGCUGCAAACUUGUGAAUGGACUCCAGAAUGGAACCCUUUACAUGCAGCCUGGGGUUGCAUUUUUAAGUGAUUGCCUGCAUUUUUCCCUACAUUAUAACAGUGACUGCACUUUUAAAAGUGACUCUCCGAUAGGAAUUGACCUUGCACAUAGAUGGCACAUAUGUGAAUGCUGAAUGGCAGCCUCUGUGCUUAUAACCACUCUAAAAGUACUUUGGCUUUGAAGCACUUUGGGAGUUCUUGGGUCAUGUCAGGUAUUAUUGGAACACAGUUCUUAGUUUCACUCAUAUGUAGAUUCAUCCUCAUAUGUCUGAUGGCACGGUGGCUCAGUGGUUAGCACUGCUACUUCACAGCACCAAGGAACCAGGUUCAAUUCCACCUUCGGGUAGCUGCUUUGUGUGGAGUUUGCACAUUCUCCUCGUGUCUGCAUGGAUUUCCUCCGGGUGCUCUGGUUUUUCUCCUACAGUCUAAUGAUGUGCAGGUUAGAUGGAUUUGCCAUGCUAAAUUGCCUGUAUUGUUCAGGGAUGUGUAGCUUCAGUAGGUUAUUGGGGGAUGGUCUAGGUGGGAUGCUGCAAGGGCCUGUGUGGACUUGUUGGGCCGAAGGCCCUGUUUCCACACUGUAGGUAUUCUAUGAUGGAGAUUAUGAGUAAAAGUCUGCACUUUGGUACUGUAGGAUUACCUAUCCUAAAGUGUUCUAAAUUUCCUUAUAAUGAGAGAAAUAAAAAGGAACACCCCACCACCCCAACCCCAACCUCAGUAUCACCACCACCUGUCCCCAGUCAAGGGACAGGGCAUAUCACUAGAUUUAGUGAGUUGAUUCACCACCAGUUUGUUAAAUUGUCAAACCAGGACUUGAACUCCAGCAAGUCCUGUGCAUUUUUAGUGAGAAAUCGGUGCACUCCGAUACAGGGUGUAGCCAAGGAGGCAGCUAUUGAGAAAGUGAAAAGAAGAGGGAGAUUGAAUAGAUUACACUCAUAAGUGCAGGGCAAUGUAAAAAAAGUUCUUAACCAUUGGGAGUGAUUGUAACAGACAUCAAACACUCUAAUAAUCCUGAUUAAAACUCAAAAUGGACUGGAUGAGGAAAAUGACAGUAGAGUUCUAAGUAAAAAUUAGAAAGAACAUGACAGAGAAGGAAUAAAAAGAUGUGAUGAGAGGUUGAGAUAAGCAAUGGGGAAAGGGGCUCAUGUACAGUAUAAACACUGGAAUAACCCAGCUAAGUCAGCCCAUUUCUCUGGUGGAACUGAAGCACUAGCAUUUUGAAGGAAGAUUAGGACUACAGAAAUGACAUUGAUGGCAUCUGCACCCAAAUCUGAAUACCAUGGAGAAAUCACAUAUGUGAGAUUCACCUCAAAAUGCAGAUAGUGGCUGCAAAAUAAUACUCUCUGAUAUGCUUUUUGUUUUGGAGUUACAUACAAUCUACAGCUCAAACUGAUUUUGUGUUUGUCCUCAACUUGAGUCUCCUCCGACUAUAUAUUUGUCGUCAACAUAACUUUCAAAAUCGUCCUCAUGCUUUUAUCCAAUGUACCUGUAAAUGCACUUUUGUUAUUCAGCUCUGUGAUUCUAUUUACUGGCAUAUUCCACACUCUCACUACUUCCUAACUAAAGCUUCUUUAUUGUACUUAUUGCAUUCAUUGACUAUCUUGUAUUGAUGGAACUUUAGUUUUAACCAUGUGGGAGAUGAUGGCUUAGUGGUAAUGUGACUGGACUGGUAAUCCAGAGCUCCUGCUCAAUAGCCUGGAGACAUAGUUUCAAAUUGAACCAUCACAUCUCAUGGAAUUUAAAUACAUUUAAUAAAUCUGGACUAAUUAAAAACCCAUUUGCCUCACUAAUGGGAAGGAAGUCUGUGGCCUUGUCGCCAAUGCCUACAUCCCAAAAGGAAAUAAAGAAAAGUAGGAGCAUCUUCUCCAAGUCUGCCCUAGCAAAUCCCCUUCAUUGAGCCUUCAUUUUUCUAGAGCAAAAAGAAUUUCAGCCAGUACAGUCUUCCUGAUUUUAUUGCUAUAACCUCCCAAGUUCUUGUAUAAUCCUUGUAAAUAGUAGGGAAUUCACCAAUAAAUAGAUAUAGUCAUGUUUAUCAAUUGUUCACAAUUUACUAUGAAAAGAAUGAAACAGAGCCUACAAGUAAUUUGAAGUCAUUUCAAAACCCAAAAAUACUGGAACCUGAGAGAAAUUGUCUUCAAACUGAAUGUAGCAACCAAGUUCACCUGAAGUGCAGUGAAUCAGUUAAACAUUUGAGGACAAGAAGGUGAGAUAACCAGCUCCACGCCUUGUUAUCUCAGAUUCUUCACCAUCUGCAGUUCCUACUGUCUCUGAGGACAAGAAGGUAACUGGAUUCCAGUCGAGACUAAUCACUGUGUAGAAGAUGGAUAUCAACAUUGUCAGUUUGGAGAAAGGUAGAUAAAGAAAAGAGUGAACUUCAAAGGUGGUGGCAGGGGAUUAAGAACAGGAAAGCUAUAUCUAUACCAUACACCGAAAUACUAAAUGCACUUUUUAGAAACAGAAUACUUUGCGUGUUCCUGCUGCAACUUACAGCCAAUAAAUUAGCUUCGAGAUCCUGUAAACAGUCCAAAAAUAAUGUCCAGACAGUCAUGUUUUGGUGGCAGUGGUUGAAGGUCAAAUGCUGAUUAGGAGAACACCUCUAGAGUCAUACAGCAUGGAAGCAGACCCUUCAGUCCAACCGUAGUCCCAAACUAAACUAGUUCCACCUGCCUGAACUUUGGCUCUUUAACUUUCAAACCUUUCUUAUUCAUGUGCAUAUCUAAAUGUCUUUAAAUAUUGUUACUGUACAUGCAUCCAUCACUUCCUCUAAAAAUUCAUUCUGCACGUGAACCACUGUGUAAAAACAAAAAUUACCCUUCAUGUUUUUUUAAUCUUUCUGCCCUCCCCUUAAAAGUAUGCCCCUUAGUCUUGAAAUCACUCAUCCCAAGGAAAAGACAUCUGCCAUUCAAUCUCCCCUUCCCCCACUGCAUCCCUAAACCAGCCCAGUUCAUCCCCUCCCCCCACUGCACCACACAACCAGCCCAGCUCUUCUCCCCCACCCACUGCAUCCCAAAACCAGUCCAACCUGUCUCUGCCUCCCUAACCGGUUCUUCCUCUCACCCAUCCCUUCCUCCCACCCCAAGCCGCACCCCCAGCUACCUACUAACCUCAUCCCACCUCCUUGACCUGUCCGUCUUCCCUGGACUGACCUAUCCCCUCCCUACCU